rnacentral:rRNA from 1 species
UACGUAGGGUGCAAGCGUUAAUCGGAAUUACUGGGCGUAAAGCGUGCGCAGGCGGUUUUGUAAGUCUGAUGUGAAAUCCCCGGGCUCAACCUGGGAAUUGCAUUGGAGACUGCAAGGCUAGAAUCUGGCAGAGGGGGGUAGAAUUCCACGAGUAGCAGUGAAAUGCGUAGAGAUGUGGAGGAACACCGAUGGCGAGGGCAGCCCCCUGGGUCAAGAUUGACGCUCAUGCACGAAAGCGUGGGGAGCAAACAGG